GCAAGACGGGCGCGGCGGCCUCGCCCCCAGGGCUGCGCAGCCACAGUGCAUGGUUGUAUAUCCUAGUUGUAAGUCCUUCUAGUACUUCUGUGUGAGCUCCCACCACAGCAUGGCAGCUGACAGACCCUCAGGAACCGAACUGGGAGGCAGAAGUGACCUGCAGGGGAAUUAUUUUUCAUGUGUGAUGUCACAUGGGGACCAAAAUUCUUUCUUCCAUAUGGACAUCCAGUUAGCGCAGCACCAUAUAGUCAAAGAUCUUCCUUGCCCCAAUGUACUGCAGUGUUAACUUUGCUGGAAAUCAGGUGACCAAUUCUUUGAUGAAGUUCUGAGGGAAUACAAAGAGUUACCCAGCAUGUCCACGGCAGGUAGACUCUUGCCCUAAGACUGGCUUUGGAACCAUCUGAGGAGCUGCUGGAAGCUGUUGCAACAUUGGUGGUGCCCUGUGAACAGAUCUCUGGUGACCAACAAAGAGCUUCUUGGCUCACAGAUGGAAGUUCCAAGAUGAGCAGACAGCAUCUUGUUUGGAAGGCUGCCACUCUGACUGAAAAAGGCAAAAACAAAUCAAGUAUAUUGGGAAAUGGAGUUAAAAGCCUCCUAUCCUUAUCCCGCCCUGUGUCCUCCAAACGUUAGGCAUAUUCAUGUUGGACUCCUGCUGCCUAUGUUAUAUAAAUGCUACACCAAAUGGAGGUGCUCAGACAGGUUUGAUCAUUCUGUUAUAAGGGAACCAUGCCCAAAGACCAGGGGGUGGCCUCUGUUUAUAAGAAAGAACUUGUCUGGUCUUUGUCCUGAGU
rnacentral:lncRNA from 1 species